ACUCCUUGGGGAAAGGGCAAUCCCCCGAGCCGGUUCCCAGGCCGGGUGGAGACCAACUCUGGGGUCUGUUGGUGGGAGAGUGGGGAGCCCGUCUUCUGCUGAGUGCUGCCGCCCCUUCCCAGGACAGCGGAGGUGGAACUUCGUCGCGCUGCAACCCCCGGCUCGGAGAUGGGAUCUCACUAUGUUACCCAGAUUGGUCUUGAACUCCUGGGCGCAAGCCAUCCUCCCACCUCAGCCUCCCAAAGUGCUGGGAUUACAGGAUCCUGGGGCGUCCUUUGGCAGUCGAUUGCACCCUGCACUAGAGAGAAGUCCAGGAAUGAUAUAUUCUUGGGCUGUAUUUCUCUACCCUGGAGUUCAUCCAGUUCAUCCCAGAAACACUGACCUGAUUACUGUGACAAAGUCUGAUGGAUAGACCCUUUCUGUUGACCUUGUGGCGUUUUUCUUUCAUGUGGAAGUUGGAAGACAAGGUGAAAGGGGCCAAAAGUUACCUGCUUUGGUGAAUAGGAGUGCUCUACUUGGUUCUCAGAACAUGGGCCCUCGUUUAAAGCUGCAGCUGUGAUCCUCGGCUGUCUGUUGGCAUUGACGGGACCUGAUGUUUUACGUUAUUGUUAUUCUAUAAGAACGGGCAGCCUUUCCCUGCACAUCGGCCUGUGGGACUAAGAGUUCACAUCUCUCAUGUCGAGCUAGCAGUGGAAAUUCCAGUGACCCAGGAAGUCCUUCAGGAGCCCAAUUCCAACGUAGUAAAAGUGGCCUUCACUGUGCGCAAGGCUGGGCGUUAUGAAAUCACAGUGAAGCUUGGUGGAUUAAAUGUGGCAUAUAGUCCCUACUACAAAAUUUUUCAACCUG
rnacentral:lncRNA from 10 species